CCUACGGGAGGCAGCAGUGAGGAAUAUUUGUCAAUGGACGCAAGUCUGAACCAGCCAUGCCGCGUGCAGGAAGACGGCUCUAUGAGUUGUAAACUGCUUUUGUACGAGGGUAAACGCAAAUACGCGUAUCUGUCUGAAAGUAUCGUACGAAUAAGGAUCGGCUAACUCCGUGCCAGCAGCCGCGGUAAUACGGAGGAUUCAAGCGUUAUCCGGAUUUAUUGGGUUUAAAGGGUGCGUAGGCGGUCGGAUAAGUUAGAGGUGAAAUCCCGGGGCUCAACUUCGGAAUUGCCUCUGAUACUGGUCGGCUAGAGAGUAGUUGCGGUAGGCGGAAUGUAUGGUGUAGCAGUGAAAUGCUUAGAGAUCAUACAGAACACCGAUUGCGAAGGCAGCUUACCAAGCUACUUCUGACGUUGAGGCACGAAAGCGUGGGGAGCAAACAGGAUUAGAUACCCGAGUAGUC
rnacentral:rRNA from 1 species